GUCAUAUGCUUGUCUCAAAGAUUAAGCCAUGCAUGUCUCAGUACAAGCCAAAUUAAGGUGAAACCGCGAAAGGCUCAUUAAAUCAGUUAUGGUUCCUUAGAUCGUACCCACAAUUACUUGGAUAACUGUGGUAAUUCUAGAGCUAAUACAUGCAAACAGAGCUCCGACCGGAGACGGAAGGAGUGCUUUUAUUAGAUCAAAACCAAUCGGUGGCGGGUCAUAGCGCUCGUCAUCGUACAACUUGGUGACUCUGAAUAACUUUACGCUGAUCGCUUACGGUCAUCGCACCGGCGACGCAUCUUUCAAAUGUCUGCCUUAUCAACUGUCGAUGGUAGGUUCUGCGCCUACCAUGGUCGUAACGGGUAACGGGGAAUCAGGGUUCGAUUCCGGAGAGGGAGCCUGAGAAACGGCUACCACAUCCAAGGAAGGCAGCAGGCGCGCAAAUUACCCACUCCCGGCACGGGGAGGUAGUGACGAAAAAUAACGAUACGGGACUCAUCCGAGGCCCCGUAAUCGGAAUGAGCACACCCUAAACCCUUUAACGAGGAUCAAUUGGAGGGCAAGUCUGGUGCCAGCAGCCGCGGUAAUUCCAGCUCCAAUAGCGUAUAUUAAAGUUGUUGCGGUUAAAAAGCUCGUAGUCGAAUUUGUGUCUCGCGCCGCCGGUUCAUCGUCCGCGGUGUUAACUGGCGAGUCUCGCGAGACGUCCUGCCGGUGGGCGCGGCGGUAGCUCGCGAGGGCGACGCGCCGCGCCCAACUCAAUCCUGCCGCGGUGCUCUUCAUUGAGUGUCGAGGUGGGCCGGCACGUUUACUUUGAACAAAUUAGAGUGCUUAAAGCAGGCUAAAACUUCGCCUGAAUAUUGUGUGCAUGGAAUAAUGGAAUAGGACCUCGGUUCUAUUUUGUUGGUUUUCGGAACGCUCCGAGGUAAUGAUUAAUAGGAACGGAUGGGGGCAUUCGUAUUGCGACGUUAGAGGUGAAAUUCUUGGAUCGUCGC
rnacentral:rRNA from 1 species